CUAAUACAAAUGAUCAGAAAUUACAACCAAAGACUCUAAAUCUUUUUCACCAGUUGCAGUAGAAUAAUUCAAAAGUUCGAUAUAUACAUAAUCUGUCACCAACUAUCGCCGGUCUUGAUCAAUUCUUCAUCAGCUAGCCUUGUAAGAAUUAAUAUGAGAAGGCUGCAGUUCAAUUUCUUAACAAGCAAAUCUUAAUGUAAGCAGAUAUAAACACUGGAAUUUAUGCUCUGGAUCAGUGCUCAUAUGAUACUGUAGUCACUGAUUGUAUAGGUCCCAGCUGGUAAAAAAGAGAGCUUUAGCAAGCUCAGGCUGAAAGUCAGCCUUUAGCUUUUGGUUACACAUACGAACAAUCUUUCAGAUAAGGGUUACUGUUCAGCGUCAAACAGAAACCAAAUGAAAAAUUAUCUUCCGUUCCUUGCUUUUCUGAUGCUGUUUGUAUGCUUUCUAUAGACAUCCAUGCUUCCUCCUCUCAGAAUACAAGCCUUUAGUAUUAUAAACAACUACUGUUUGCACAAUUGCACCGAUGCCGCUGUAAAUCUCAGUAGAUCGAUCCAAAGGAAAUUGAAAAGAAAAACGAGAAUCGGGCUCAUGGCGUUUCUUCUCUUGUCUUCCUCCUUGCAGUUGUAUGGAAAUAAUGGACAUGCCUGUAUACUAAUGUUAACAGAUCUGUGAAAAGAGUAUGUUAAAAUACAGUUUUCAUCAUGCAAGGAUCAAGUUGGGGCAUAUACACAUAGGGUAAAGCGAUUACAGUGCCUGAAAAUGGAAGAUGUCUUUAACCAGCAGGGUGGAACUUCUCAGCAAACAUGAGAAACGGUUCUGAAUUUAUAUUUUAAAUAUUCAUAGUUUAACAAAAAGGAAAGGCAACAGUGACCGUUAAUGCAAAGUGCUUAUGUGUGUCUCUAAGAAUAAAGUAACAUGUGAACCUAAAACUGCAUUUGCAGUGAUCAAAAUUAGCAUGCUUCAGAUAUUUCAAAUAAACAGAGCAUUGCUUUUAUUUCCAUUAAAAAAGGGGGCACUUGGAUUUGAACCAGGGACCUCUUGAUCUGCAGUCAAAUGCUCUACCACUGAGCUAUACCCCCUGCUCCUUCAGUUCUGCUCUGUAAAGCUAACUCAUUUUCCCUGCAUCAAAACUGCAGUGUUCAUACUAUUGCCUGACAUUUAGAGAAAGUACACUAUGAUUCAUUUGCAUCACUUUAAAAUUAAUUGUUUCACUUACAUUUCUCUAAAUGCUUCAGUGAUUUAUGGAGUAGGGUAGACUAAAAAUACAAACUACUCGAUUUUACAUCAUUGGGAAAGAAUGAUGGGCUGUCCUGGCAGUGAAGUCCCCACCUACUAACUUCCUGAUAUUUCAUUAGCCAACAUACACACAAGUUUGUCUUUGAUAAUAUAGCAGGCAGGAACUUCCUUUCCCCCCCCCUUCCCUUUUUUUUUUAAUGACAGCUGAGAUUCUCAGACAGCUGAAUUCAGUAACCAAUACAACAACAAAUAAAAGUGCAAAAUGUUGCACAGUAGUGAGGUGGCCUGUUUCUGUUCAGGGUUCUAGCCAGCCAUGCCCUCUUCCAGGAUUCUCAGCACACAAACAGGAAGAGGGGGAUGGAGAAGGCAAGGAGUAUGUCAGCCUAAGUCUCAUAUAUGUAAUAUUUAUAAAGGUAUUUAUUUACCGUCAUCUCAUAAAAUGUGAGGGUAGUGUACAAUAAUGUGUACACAUCACUGAUACAGUGCAGAAUAAUAAUUAAAAUGAUUAAAACAAUACUAGCACUUAUGAAAACAGCCAUAUUUAACAUUCCUUAUUCAUGGUUUUACAUGAUGUGAACUGAGCCAUUAUAUACAAAAUCUACACAUGAAUAGGUUUACUUUUCCAUAUGCGGCUGGCAAGCACAUGGGCGCUGGCUUUUCAGUGGUGGCCCCAAUAUUGUGAAAUACCCAAGCAUUAUUAGGCAGGACCCAUCCCUGGAUAAACCUUGGCUUGCAGAAAAUAAUUGUGGCUGGGUAUCUGAUUGUGUGGCCAGGUCUUGGUUACUAUUUUAUGCUCCAUUUUUUAUAUUGGAUUGUUAGUUAUAAUAAUAUAGGAUUGUAUUAUGAAAUUGUUUUCCUACAAGUUUUUUUUAA